UACGUAGGGGGCAAGCGUUGUUCGGAAUUACUGGGCGUAAAGGGCGCGUAGGCGGUCGUGACAAGUCACUUGUGAAAUCUCCGGGCUUAACUCGGAACGGUCAAGUGAUACUGUCGGACUAGAGUACAGAAGGGGCAACUGGAAUUCUCGGUGUAGCGGUGAAAUGCGUAGAUAUCGAGAGGAACACCUGCGGCGAAGGCGGGUUGCUGGGCUGAUACUGACGCUGAGGCGCGAAAGCCAGGGGAGCGAACGGG
rnacentral:rRNA from 1 species